rnacentral:rRNA from 1 species
UACGUAGGGUGCAAGCGUUGUCCGGAUUUAUUGGGCGUAAAGAGCUCGUAGGCGGUUUAGAAAGUCAGGUGUGAAACCUCCAGGCUCAACCUGGAGACGCCACUUGAUACUUCUAUGACUUGAGUUCGGUAGGGGACCAUGGAAUUCCUGGUGUAGCGGUGAAAUGCGCAGAUAUCAGGAGGAACACCGAUGGCGAAGGCAGUGGUCUGGGCCGAUACUGACGCUGAGGAGCGAAAGCGUGGGGAGCGAACAGG